rnacentral:rRNA from 1 species
CGGGGUGAGCAAUGUCUGGGAAACUGCCUGAUGGAGGGGGAUAACUACUGGAAACGGUAGCUAAUACCGCAUAACGUCGCAAGACCAAAGAGGGGGACCUUCGGGCCUCUUGCCAUCGGAUGUGCCCAGAUGGGAUUAGCUAGUAGGUGGGGUAACGGCUCACCUAGGCGACGAUCCCUAGCUGGUCUGAGAGGAUGACCAGCCACACUGGAACUGAGACACGGUCCAG